rnacentral:lncRNA from 1 species
AGUUUGCUGGUAUCCAGUACGUUCCUGCUUCAGAGUCCUCAGCCGAGUGUUCUUGGCUCAUUCAAAUGUUUUCUUUAAGACAGGGUUUUUCUCUGCAACCCUGGCUGGUGUGGAGCUUGUUUUAUGUAAUCUAUACACCAGCCUGACCUUGAACUUGUAGUGUCCUCUGAGUGCUAGGAUUACAGGGAGGGCUUCUAUGCAUGGCCCAAAUGCUUCCUUAACCACUUGGAUCAUCCCAAAGGUGAAGAAGACAAUCGCCUUGUGUAUUGUCUGUUUCCUUGACACAUGAGCUCAUGUAUACAAAGACUCUGAUGGAAAAGUUGGGGCUUUAAUAGCCUUACCUUUUUUUUUUUUUUUAUUGUUUUCUUUUGUUUGUUUUUCUUUUCUGAGAUUGGUUUCUCCGGAACAGAACUGACUUUGUGUGCCAGGCUGGCCACCUGCCUCUGUCUGCUGCGUGGCGGGAAUGAAGGCGUCCUCCGCUACCCUUUAAAGAGUAAUCAGAAGGAAGUGCAUCCAAAGGCUGAGAGUCUGUCGCUGUGUGUUCUGUAUCACAGCUGUGGGUCAGUCAGAUCCACGGUUACAGAUGAGGGAGGCUAUGCUCAGGAGUAGGAAACAUAACUUGAGAACAACUUGGGAUUCAAACUCCGUAUGUCUACCUACAAAGUAUUUUCCUACAUAUAAUGUUGCCUAUAUGAAAGGAAAAACAAAUGAUAAGACAGCCAUUCCAAAGCUCACUUUAAAUGCCAGUGGGAAGCCUAGAACAUGGCUCAGGACGUAAAGCGCUUUAUUUUUACCUUAGCUCUGAGGUACUGAGUUCACAUCCUUAGACCCCAUGUACUAGUUAGACAGGAAGCAAAGAGUCUGCAAUAGCAGCAUCCUACAGGGACAUGGGACGGUGGAGAGACAAAGGAAUCCUCAGACACGGGCAAGCUGGCAUGCACAGUGGAGAAACAACACAGACAUCUUGUGUCAAAUGAGGUAGGAAGUGAAGACUGACACCUAAGGUGGUAUCUGACCUCCAUGUGUUAAAGCAUGCACAUGCCCACUCUAACCAACACAUGAAUGUGCACGCAUACACAGAACAGUCUAUGAUAGAGUCGUGUUUAGGUAUUGUGAGUUCAGUAUGUAAAUGACAGGCUGUAUGAAAUCAAACACACCGUCUGCCUCACAGUGCCCCAGAACCAUGGGAUUCUACAGCUAUAAACACGAAUCACAGGUUUGCUUUUACGUGCUGGUUAAUGUAGGUUUUAAGUUCUAGAGUAAGGCUACAUUCUUUAGGAAUGUAGUGCUCUGGCCUGUUUUAUCUGGAUUCUGAGAAUAGUUACUUAUGUACAUUCAGAGGUUGCUCUCCAUCCAGUGUGGCUGCUGGUUUUCCUUCACUGGGCAUGAAGGAACUUUGAAAGUAGGUAAGAGAGGAACUAAGUUUAGUUGGCCUUGAUUUUUAGAUCCGAGGAGGGGAAAAGCCGAAGAAGCACUGAACUAUUUAAAAUGAUAGGAUGGGUGGGUCAGUGCAAUUAGUUUCCAUUGCUGUGUGAGGUGACUGCAGCAGGUGAGUGGCGCUGAUUCUGUGCUGCCAAAGAUACACAUCCUUUGAGAUAAAAGGCAUUCUUAAAAGUUGUGCUUUGUGUAUUUUGAUUGAUACAGGCUAUUCCUGCAUGGACUGAGGGAUUCAUCCCAGAUGAAGUCAUCUAAGCCUAUAGUUGUACUCUGAGUAUCACCUUAAAAAACACAUUAACCUUUGGGUUG